rnacentral:ncRNA from 2 species
UAACACCCGGUGGGAGAAGCGGGGCAACCCGCUGCCGAAGGCGCAACGCCCGUAAUCGCUCAGGCUCCCGUACCACCGCCGCGAA